UACGUAGGGUGCAAGCGUUAAUCGGAAUUACUGGGCGUAAAGUGUGCGCAGGUGGCCGCGCAAGUCGAGUGUGAAAUCCCCGGGCUUAACUUGGGAAUUGCGCUCGAAACUACGUGGCUCGAGUGUGGCAGAGGGGGGUGGAAUUCCGACGUGUAGCGGUGAAAUGCGUAGAGAUGUGGAGGAACACCAAUGGCGAAGGCAGCCCCCUGGG
rnacentral:rRNA from 1 species